rnacentral:rRNA from 1 species
CAGCAGCCGCGGUAAUACGGAGGGCGCGAGCGUUACCCGGAUUUACUGGGCGUAAAGGGCGUGUAGGCGGCCUGGGGCGUCCCAUGUGAAAGGCCACGGCUCAACCGUGGAGGAGCGUGGGAUACGCUCAGGCUAGAGGGUGGGAGAGGGUGGUGGAAUUCCCGGAGUAGCGGUGAAAUGCGCAGAUACCGGGAGGAACGCCGAUGGCGAAGGCAGCCACCUGGUCCACUUCUGACGCUGAGGCGCGAAAGCGUGGGGAGCAAACCGGAUUAGAUACCCCCGUAGUCCCUGUCUCUUAUAC